GGCAAUAGCAGAAUAGGAGCAAGCCAGCACUAGUCAGCUAACUAAGUGACUCAACCAAGGCCUUUUUUCCUUGUUAUCUUUGCAGAUACUUCAUUUUCUUAGCGUUUCUGGAGAUUACAACAUCCUGCGGUUCCGUUUCUGGGAACUUUACUGAUUUAUCUCCCCCCUCACACAAAAUAAGCAUUGAUUCCUGCAUUUCUGAAGAUCUCAAGAUCUGGACUACUGUUGAAAAAAUUUCCAGUGAGGCUCACUUAUGUCUGUAAAGAUGGAAAAAAAAUACAAGAACAUUGUUCUACUGAAAGGAUUAGAGGUCAUCAAUGAUUAUCAUUUUAGAAUGGUUAAGUCCUUACUGAGCAACGAUUUAAAACUUAAUUUAAAAAUGAGAGAAGAGUAUGACAAAAUUCAGAUUGCUGACUUGAUGGAAGAAAAGUUCCGAGGUGAUGCUGGUUUGGGCAAACUAAUACAAAUUUUCAAAGAUAUACCAACGCUUGAAGACCUGGCUGAAACUCUUAAAAAAGAAAAGUUAAAAGUAAAAGGACCAGCCCUAUCAAGAAAGAGGAAGAAGGAAGUGGAUGCUACUUCACCUGCACCCUCCACAAGCAGCACUGUCAAAACUGAAGGAGCAGAGGCAACUCCUGGAGCUCAGAAAAGAAAAAAAUCAACCAAAGAAAAGGCUGGACCCAAAGGGAGUAAGGUGUCCGAGAAACAGACUCAGCCUCCCUCUCCUGCAGGAGCCGGCAUGUCCACAGCCAUGGGCCGUUCCCCAUCUCCCAAGACCUCAUUAUCAGCUCCACCCAACACUUCUUCAACUGAGAACCCGAAAACAGUGGCCAAAUGUCAGGUAACUCCCAGAAGAAAUGUUCUCCAAAAAGGCCCAGUGAUAGUGAAGGUACUGAGUACAACAAAGCCAUUUGAAUAUGAGACCCCAGAAAUGGAGAAAAAAAUAAUGUUUCAUGCUACAGUGGCUACACAGACACAGUUCUUCCAUGUGAAGGUUUUAAACACCAGCUUGAAGGAGAAAUUCAAUGGAAAGAAAAUCAUCAUCAUAUCAGAUUAUUUGGAAUAUGAUAGUCUCCUAGAGGUCAAUGAAAAAUCUACUGUAUCUGAAGCUGGUCCUAACCAAACGUUUGAGGUUCCAAAUAAAAUCAUCAACAGAGCAAAGGAAACUCUGAAGAUUGAUAUUCUUCACAAACAAGCUUCAGGAAAUAUUGUAUAUGGAGUAUUUAUGCUACAUAAGAAAACAGUAAAUCAGAAGACCACAAUCUACGAAAUUCAGGAUGAUAGAGGAAAAAUGGAUGUAGUGGGGACAGGACAAUGUCACAAUAUCCCCUGUGAAGAAGGAGAUAAGCUCCAACUUUUCUGCUUUCGACUUAGAAAAAAGAACCAGAUGUCAAAACUGAUUUCAGAAAUGCAUAGUUUUAUCCAGAUAAAGAAAAAACCAAACCCGAGAAACAAUGACCCCAAGAGCAUGAAGCUACCCCAGGAACAGAGUCAGCUUCCAAAUCCUUCAGAGGCCAGCACAACCUUCCCUGAGAGCCAUCUUCGGACUCCUCAGAUGCCACCAACAACUCCAUCCAGCAGUUUCUUCACCAAGUUGAAACCAAGACUGAAGACUGAACCUGAAGAAGUUUCCAUAGAAGACAGUGCCCAGAGUGACCUCAAAGAAGUGAUGGUGCUGAACGCAACAGAAUCAUUUGUAUAUGAGCCCAAAGAGCAGAAGAAAAUGUUUCAUGCCACAGUGGCAACUGAGAAUGAAGUCUUCCGAGUGAAGGUUUUUAAUAUUGACCUAAAGGAGAAGUUCACCCCAAAGAAGAUCAUUGCCAUAGCAAAUUAUGUUUGCCGCAAUGGGUUCCUGGAGGUAUAUCCUUUCACACUUGUGGUUGAUGUGAAUGCUGACCGAAACAUGGAGAUCCCAAAAGGAUUGAUUAGAAGUGCCAGCGUAACUCCUAAAAUCAAUCAGCUUUGCUCACAAACUAAAGGAAGUUUUGUGAAUGGGGUGUUUGAGGUACAUAAGGUAAGCCCACACCAUUGUUUUAUAAAAUUUCUCCUGCAACCUCCAAUUUUUUAAGUCUUAACUUGUCAACUGGACUUUGGUCAACUUACUCAACACAGAAAAUGAACCCCUUCACCCCUCCCCCAGCACUAGAGAUAAUUGAAUAGAGUUCAUUUCAGGAUAUGGGGUACGUUAUAUUGUAACAUUCCUCUUCUUAAGGUAUCAUCAUGCAAGUUAUUUAGACAGUCACUAGGAAACUUGGCAUUUUAUUAGUUUUGAUGGUCUAUUCAGAGCCACCCUUGUCCAGGACAGUGCAGAGUUUAUAUCAACACACAUAUCCUUAGGAUUUUGUUUCUUUGAGUUCUUCUCCAUCUGUAUCAAUGACAACUUAAUUUAAUUGUGAAUAAAAGAGUUGCUCUCCCAAGCCUGAAUCCUGAUUGUGACAACCAGAGUAAGAAAUAAAAUAGACUACUCUGCUUUAGAAUGCAGCUAUGUCUAACAGUUAGCUAGAAUUCUGAUCAUUUGGACUCCAAAGUUUCUUGCCUCUUCUCAUUCAUUAAUUCAUCAGGAGACUGCAGAGCAACUAACUUCUGCAUUAAAUAAUAAGAGAAAUACGAAGCAAAAAGACUAAAAAAGUCACGUAGCUUAACUGCUCAAUUUAUAAAUGGGGCAAUAAAAUGCAAAAAAAAAAAAAGCUUGGUGAAUUCUUAGGCUUACAGUGUGCCUUUCAGUCUCUACACAUCAUGUAAAUAUUAUGCUUAGCUGAUUUAACUUCUUGUUUGAAGUACUGUUUCAUACUCCAUUAUAUAUGUCUUCUAGGGUGGCUUACUUUUAAUUGUGCUGUUUUCUCUAAACUCAGUUUAAAUGACUGUACAUAUAUAUGUGGUUGUAGAAUUAAUGAAUAAAGUAAUGAGCUACAAACCAGAACAAUGUGACUAGAUAGAUGGAUGAUCUAGAUUUGAGAUCUGGGCAGAUUGGGAAAGAGUGACUAUAUGGAGAAGAAAGAAGUAGUUACAUAUUGAAAUAACAGUCUACUUAAUGAGGACGUGCAACAUUCUUUCUCAAACUUAUAAAGUGCCAUAAAAAGCCUCUAUUCUCUGCUCUUAGGCAGGUGUGAAAGAAACCUACCAAAUUAAUCAGAUUUUUCUGUAUCCAGGCUCCUUAAAAAAUCCCAGCUGUGCUGAUGUGGAAACAGGAAGAAUUAGGAAAGUAAUCAAUUUUUUUUCCUAGAAAAAAUCCAGCAGACAAAGAACUUCAACAAAAGAGGCUCAAGGGAGGAGUUGAAAGGCAGGAUUCAAAGACCAAGUAUCUUAAGCUAUUUGGUAACUGUUAUUCAGGACCUACAGCUCUGUUUACUCUAUCAAAGACAAAAGUUUCCAGAAACACCCUGUAUUUCUCAUAGAUUUGAAAAUUAUUGAUCCAGUUUCAGAAGAUAAGUGUUAAUUUUCUUUUGCAGAAAAAUGUAAGGGGUGAAUUCACUUAUUAUGAAAUACAAGAUAAUACAGGGAAGAUGGAAGUGGUGGUGCAUGGACGACUGACCACAAUCAACUGUGAGGAGGGAGAUAAACUGAAACUCACCUGCUUUGAAUUGGCACCGAAAAGUGGGAAUACCGGGGAGUUGAGAUCUGUAAUUCAUAGUCACAUCAAGGUCAUCAAGACCAGGAAAAACAAGAAAGACAUACUCAAUCCUGAUUCAAGUAUGGAAACUUCACCAGACUUUUUCUUCUAAAAUCUGUAUGUCAUUGACGAUAAUGUUUAUGGAGAUAAGGUCUAAGUGCCUAAAAAAUGUACAUAUACCUGGUUGAAAUACAACACUAUACAUACACACCACCAUAUAUACUAGCUGUUAAUCCUAGGCAAUGGGGUAUUGGGAGUGCUUUUUUAAUUUUUCAUAGUUUUUUUUUAAUAAAAUGGCAUAUUUUGCAUCUACAACUUCUAUAAUUUGAAAAAAUAAAUAAACAUUAUCUUUUUUGUGAAA
rnacentral:sRNA from 1 species